CACUUUGUGAUUCAUGACUGGGGUGAAGUCGUAACAAGGUAACCGUAGGGGAACCUGCGGUUGGAUCACCUCCUUACCUUAAAGAAGC
rnacentral:rRNA from 23 species